CCCCUAGAUGUUCUGGUCCGCACGCGCGCUACACUGAACAGUUCAACAAGUCUUAACCUUGGCCGAUAGGUCUGGGUAAUCUUUGAACGCUGUUCGUGAUUGGGAUAGACCUUUGCAAUUAUGGGUCUUCAACGAGGAAUUCCUAGUAAACGCAAGUCAUCAGCUUGCAUUGAUUACGUCCCUGCCCUUUGUACACACCGCCCGUCGCACCUACCGAUUGAAUGGUCCGGUGAAAUCUCGGGACGGCGGCUUGGUCGCUUGCGUCCGACUGCUGAAACUUGAUUAAACCAUAUCAUUUAGAGGAAGGUGAAGUCGUAACA
rnacentral:rRNA from 1 species